GAUGAACGCUGGCGGCGUGCUUAACACAUGCAAGUCGAACGAUCAGAGGAGGAGCUUGUUUCUCUCCCGUUAGCGGCGGACGGGUGAGAAAAACGCGGAUAAACUCUCUCUCAGUCUUGGAUAACACCGGGUAAACGUAUCUCUAAUAGGAUAAAAUCUUGAACUGCAUGGUUAUAGAUUUAAGGAAGGUUUUGCUGUCACUUAUAGAUGGAUCCGCGCCGCAUUAGGUCCUUGGUAAGGUAACGGCUUACCAAGGCAACGAUGCGUAGCCGACCUGAGAGGGUGGUCGGCCCCACUGGAACUGAGACACGGUCCAGACUCCUACGGGAGGCAGCAGUAGGGAAUCUUCCGCAAUGGGCGAAAGCUUGACGGAGCAACGCCGCGUGAGUGAUGAAGGUCUUCGGAUCGUAAAACUCUGUUAUUAGGGAAGAACAAAUGUGUAAGUAACUAUGCACGUCUUGACGGUACCUAAUCAGAAAGCCACGGCUAACUACGUG
rnacentral:rRNA from 1 species